GUGUGAGAGUAGUAAAAAUAGUAAAAAAAUUUAGAAAAUUAGUUAAAGUUAAAAAUCGGGCGCUAAUUUUAAAGGUUUGGCUCAAAGUUAGGCCAAACAGGCCAAAAACACUAACGGGUUGGACUGGUCCCAAGUUGGACCCAAGGCCAACAUAUAUAACCACUUAAAUGAACCUCAUUCAACCCAUUCAUCACUUAAACAACACAAACACAGCUGAAAGGAAUGAGGAGAGAGGUGAGAGCUUUUCCACCAUUAUUACUAUUCACGCCUCUCUUCUGGAGGCCAUAAUUCGAGCUACGGUGCUCCGAUUGAUGAGCUGUUUGCGGCUACGCGAAACUCUCUCUGAGCCCGUUAGUUUCAUCUAACCAAAAUGUGGUAUCUAAGAUUGGGCUAUUGGUGGUUUGCGCCUCAAACACCAUCAAAAAAGUUGAGUUCUUACAAUUGUUGGAGUUGAUUUGGAGCUUUGAAUGUGAGAUUGGUGAUUUGUUGGUGAUUGAAAGCUUGUUUGGACUCAAAUUUGGGUAUUGUGCAUAUUGAGAAUCGACCAAGGUAUGGUUUCAAUUUUCUCUAUGUAAUAUGUAAUAUUUCUGAAAACUUAGACUAGUGGACCUUACGAUAGGAUUGAAUUUGGUUGUUGACAGUUGUUAAAUUGAUAAUGUGUGAUGAUGUUAAUGCUUGUGAUAGUUUUGAUGACUUGUGAUGGAAUUGUUGAUGUUGAGGUUGAAUUAUUGUAGUUAUGAGAAUUUUGAUGUGGUAUGAUAAAUGAUGCAUAUGAGUGGUGAGAUUGUGUUCAUGUUGUUAAUAUUGGAAUAUUGAUGUACGAAUUGUGGAAUUGUUGAGUUUAUGAAGGAGGAAUUGAUUGAUAUAGGUGUUGAAUUGGUUGAAUUGUGAUGGAAAAGUGCAUUUAUAGUGUUUUAUGGUGAAAUUGAAUAAGCUUUGACUUGGGAUAAGUUCAAGAUGAAAUUUUAUGGGAAGUAUUUCUUGCAAGCAAUUCGUACCGCGAAGGAACUGGAGCUAAUGCAGCUGAAGUAGGAGGGUAUGUCUGUUGCUGAGUAUACCUGAGAAUUUAAUAACUUGUGCCGCUUCUCAAGAACUUGUCAGAAAAAUUCAGCCAAUUAUGAAGAAUGGGCCUGUACCCAGUAUAAAAGGGGACUCAAGAAAGAGAUAUUCAACUAUGUGAACCCUCAAAAUAUAGAAAGUUUAGCCGAGUUGGUUAGCAAGAGUCAGCUUGCAAAAGAUUGUUCCAUGGACACAUCAAUCCUCAAGAGAAGGCCUUCAACAACAGCAUUUACUCUAUCUUCUACUUUCGAAGUCAGAAGCCCUAAAGAGAUUGAUUUCAUUACUAUUGAGAUUGAGAGUUGAAGUCUUUCUAUUGAGCAGAAAAUUCAAGCAAAUAUUGAUAUUUAGAGUUACACGUCCUUAAGCUGCAAGCAGCAAAUAAUAUUAGAAUACAGGCAGUACUACUUAGACAGCUAAGCGAGAGUUAACUCAGUCUAGUUACAAAAACCGUAAACAAAGUCAUUUAAUUAGGAAAGCACUACGAUCUUUAAUUUCCCUUCUCAAGAGUGGCAUUUCCGUGCUCCUAUCCAUAAUUCUCACCUAGUGUCCGUAAAAACCUUCUCCCAAGAUAUCAUAUUUUGAUUACAACUUGAUAUCGCUUAUACAUUAGAUAUAUUUAGCCAACAUCAACUUUGAAUUACAAAACUAAACACAUGAUUGAUUUGUCUCUAA